GCUGUUAAGGGUUCGUAGUUGAACUGUGGGUCGAGACUCCGAGGCCCCGUCCUUUACCCCGUGUAUUGGAACGCUUCGAUCUCGACUCGAGAACGUCAGAAACUAAUACCACGGAAGCGCUUCCCGGCAUUUCGCGAGCAAUGCACGCAGUCGGGCGUCCGUGUUCAUUACUGUGACUAAGAAGUGCGACCAAAGCAGUCCAUCGACAUGAAUUAGAAAGCAUGGGAUAACAAAGGGCAUCCUACAGGCUACCUCUAGGCUUUUGUUGGUUUUAAAGGUCAGUGGGAGAUUACGGGUGGGUGGACCGGCGUGCGGAGGACUUUCCUCCCGCGCUUCCUCCUCAGGUUGGCAACAUCUGGGGAGGCCUGCUUUACUCAGGAAUGAAGGAGGGUUGCUCGGGGGAGAACGUACUUGGCGUGAGAGGUGAAAUUCUUAGACCGCUCAAAGACGAACUACAGCGAAGGCAUUCUCCAGGAUACCUUCCUCAAUCAAGAACCAAAGUGUGGGGAUCGAAGAUGAUUAGAUACCAUUGUGUCC
rnacentral:rRNA from 1 species